AUGUUCUUCAUACACAGAAGGAAAUCUUUGAUUGUAUCUAGCCUUGGGUAUAGUUAAGUAGCAACAUAACAUGGACCAAAACAAUCAAGAUGAACACACAGUUAACACAUCCUAAUUUAUAGAUAUCCCAGCACCUUAAGAAAUGCAUCAGGGAGUUUUAGAUGAAGUACAAAAGCAUUAGUAGAAAAAGCUAUGUCUGUCUGCUGUACCACAGUACUGAAAGCAUAAAUAAGUUCAUUUCACUGCUAACAAUUCAGCAGAAAAAUGCUAAUGCAUUGUACUAGAUGGGAGUGAAGUUUGGGGCCCAGGUUUAACAGAUAAUUAUGUCAAUUGGGUCAUAAAAUUAAUUAAAGGAAACCCUAUAACUACAGUGCUGCUAACAAAAUCUGGGGUCAUGGGAACUCCAACAUGAACAGCUACAGAGCAGAAUUAUGAUCAUGCCACCGAUUCAACCAAUUUACAGACAAGAACACCCAACUUUUGGUGUCAUUUCAAUCAAAACAGCAAAGUGCUCAAAAUUAAAAUACCAAACCCAAGUGAAGAGACAAAGCACUCCUGUAUCACAUCUCUCAUAAAUCACAACAGCAUUAGUCUGACCAGUGACAGAGAUCCUCACCCAAAACCAAACCACGCGUGAGAAACUAGUUUGGAUCCUAAAAUGCAAAUACAUAUAUGCAAACGUCUGGGGGAGAGGGGAGACAAAAAAUUAGAUUUCUCUAUAUGUUCUCACACGCGUGUAUUCUGCCAACAGAGUGAUUCACCAAAGUGAAAUGUGCAAAAGUAAGGUGGAGUAUCACUAAAUACAGAACAAAUGGCAUAAUGGAGAGAUGGAAAACGGAAAACAGAGAAAAUGAGAGCAGAAUGACUUGUGCAUCAACUGUGAUGCAAAAACUGAAGAUUCCUGCUUUUGAACAAACUGCUCACAGACCCCUGUUAUGUGAAUCUUUUCCCUGAGUAGCACUUUCUGAACUCAGCAAUGUCUCGACAGGACUGCAGUGAAAGCUAUCUGAAAAAUAUGCCUGUCAAAGGACCCUUCUUUGAAUGGAAGCUGAUGGGAGACCAAGAUCAAAUUAAGUGCUUGAAGAGACUGGGAACCCAUGGCCUGGAUGGAAUGAG